rnacentral:rRNA from 1 species
AUUGAACGCUGGCGGCAUGCCUUACACAUGCAAGUCGAACGGCAGCACGGGAGCAAUCCUGGUGGCGAGUGGCGAACGGGUGAGUAAUAUAUCGGAACGCGCCCAGUCGUGGGGGAUAACGUAGCGAAAGCUACGCUAAUACCGCAUACGAUCUAUGGAUGAAAGCGGGGGAUCGCAAGACCUCGCGCGAUUGGAGCGGCCGAUAUCAGAUUAGGUAGUUGGUGAGGUAAAGGCUCACCAAGCCGACGAUCUGUAGCUGGUCUGAGAGGACGACCAGCCACACUGGGACUGGGACACGGCCCAGACUCCUACGGGAGGCAGCAGUGGGGAAUUUUGGACAAUGGGCGCAAGCCUGAUCCAGCAAUGCCGCGUGCAGGAUGGAGGCCUUCGGGUUGUAAACUGCUUUUGUACGGAACGAAACGGUGGGCUCUAAUACAGUUUGCUAAUGACGGUACCGUAAGAAUAAGCACCGGCUAACUACGUGCCAGCCGCCGCGGUAA